CUGAACUGCAGAAUUCUCUGUCCAGUCCCACUUUUAAUUUUUUAAAACUAAUUUCUGCAUGAAUUAAAGAUUUAAAAAAUAGGUACGAUUUGUCAAAUCAUAAGCAUAUAUUUAUGGCACGCAUAAAUAGGCACCAGAAGGGUUUACUAUGUUUUCAUUGUUUGAGACAGAGUCUCUAAGUAGUUCAAUCUAACCUCAAACUUGUGGUCCUCCUGCCUCAGUCUCCAGGGCGCUGGGGCUGUGAGUCUGCUGCCGGCGUCCUGUCUGACUAUAGUGCAUUAUCUUGCUAUCAGCUUUUUCUUGUGCUUCUGGGUAUAGAAGUCAGGUCUUCUCACUUGCAAGGCGUUUGCUCUUCUACAAGUGACACCCCGGCCUUACCAUUAAAUACGAGUGGAGGCAAGCGAUCUCACCACAGAGGCAGAAACGAAAUAGUACAUUACAUUCCUUGGCCAAAUGAAAACAGCUUUAUUGCUUCAUCCUUGUUUUUAGCUCCACCUCAGAGUGACAAGCUGAUGGCGAAUGGGUGAGAAAGAAAAGGGGAAGGGGGCCAACCGACAGCCUUCCCACCAGCUUGAGGCUUGUUAGAGAAAUAUGAAGACUCUCCAUUCAGGGAGGUCACAGCUGAGGUCAAGGCUACUUAUCAAUGUAAAGAUACUUGGAAUUGUACUUUUGAAUCUGGCCCCAUAGCAACCUCAAAUACAAACAGAAUUCUGUAACUAAGGAGGAAGCACUCAGGCCAAAGAGAAGGCAACCACAGGCUGCCUGCUGUGGCUGCCAUUCUGAGCACAGAUGGCUUCAUGGGCCUUUUCACUGCUGCCUCACUCAGAUGCAGACCAGCUCACAGAGGCCUGCCGCUUCGGGCCCAUCAGAUUGGCUGUGAAGAUUCACCACGACAAGGAGGUGCUCCAAAUAUUCCAGAGUUAACUUAAAGCACAGGGGAAGACGUCCCAGGCUACAUGCAAACACCAGGCCUCUUUACACCAAAGACGUUGGAAUCUUCUGGGUCCUGGAAUCAGAACCCAGGAUCGAUUCUGAGGGACAGCUAUCCAUGGAAAAGAAUCUUCCUCUCCUUCCGUCCCAACAACCAAAUCCUAUCCUAAGCACAGGUUAUCAACCAUCAAGUGUUUGUGAGCUGGCUCACUGGGCAAAGGCGCCCGCUCGCUGCCAUGUCGGAUGGCCGGAGUUCCACAUGGAAGGACAGCCUCAGCUCCAGCAAACUGACCUUUGACAUCCAUAUUGCCGCUGUGGCAUGUGUGAAUACAUGCCCUUUUUCAAUAAAUGAGUAAAUAAUAACAAAA